rnacentral:rRNA from 1 species
GAUGAACGCUGGCGGCGUGCCUAAUACAUGCAAGUCGAGCGAACGGACGAGAAGCUCGCUUCUCUGCUGUUAGCGGCGGACGGGUGAGUAACACGUGGAUAACCUACCUCUAAGACUGGGAUAACUUCGGGAAACCGUAGCUAAUACCGGCUAAUAUUUUGAACCGCAUGGUUCAAAAGUGAAAGACGGUCUUGCUGUCACUUAUAGCUGGAUCCGCGCUGCAUUAGCUAGUUGGUAAGGUAACGGCUUACCAAGGCAACGAUGCAUAGCCGACCUGAGAGGGUGAUCGGCCACACUGGAACUGAGACACGGUCCAGACUCCUACGGGAGGCAGCAGUAGGGAAUCUUCCGCAAUGGGCGAAAGCCUGACGGAGCAACGCCGCGUGAGUGAUGAAGGUCUUCGGAUCGUAAAACUCUGUUAUUAGGGAAGAAAAGAUGUGUAAGUAACUGUGCACAUCUUGACGGUACCUAAUCAGAAAGCCACGGCUAACUACGUG